rnacentral:rRNA from 1 species
AUUGAACGCUGGCGGCAUGCCUUACACAUGCAAGUCGAACGGCAGCACGGGUGCUUGCACCUGGUGGCGAGUGGCGAACGGGUGAGUAAUACAUCGGAACAUGUCCUGUAGUGGGGGAUAGCCCGGCGAAAGCCGGAUUAAUACCGCAUACGAUCUACGGAUGAAAGCGGGGGACCUUCGGGCCUCGCGCUAUAGGGUUGGCCGAUGGCUGAUUAGCUAGUUGGUGGGGUAAAGGCCUACCAAGGCGACGAACAGUAGCUGGUCUGAGAGGACGACCAGCCACACUGGGACUGAGACACGGCCCAGACUCCUACGGGAGGCAGCAGUGGGGAAUUUUGGACAAUGGGCGAAAGCCUGAUCCAGCAAUGCCGCGUGUGUGAAGAAGGCCUUCGGGUUGUAAAGCACUUUUGUCCGGAAAGAAAUGCUUGGCCCUAAUACGGUCGGGGGAUGACGGUACCGGAAGAAUAAGCACCGGCUAACUACGUG